AGGCAAUCACAGGGGAGCCAACCUGCCACCUCCUGCCUCAGCAAGGGUGGCGCGAAGGCUGAGAGUGCUGCGUUUAAGCGCGGCAGACCCGUUGAACCUGCUCCAGGUAAUGCUGGCGAAGGGAUUGCUCCUGGCUGCUUU
rnacentral:ncRNA from 1 species